UAAUCUGUUUGGAGUAGAUCCUUAUUUAGUUAUGGCAGAAUAAUAUAUGUAUGUAUAAAAUCACCGAUUAUUACAAACACAAUUACAUUAAAAAAAAAACAGAGAGAGAAAUAUUGGUAGAUAUAAAUCUUCUU
rfam:Populus trichocarpa isolate Nisqually-1 chromosome 2, whole genome shotgun sequence.